UGUGGUGUAGUGGCGUGUUCUAGACCCGAAGCGGAGUGAUCUACCCAUGGCCAGGUUGAAGCGACGGUAAGACGUCGUGGAGGACCGAACCCACUUAGGUUGAAAACUGAGGGGAUGAGUUGUGGGUAGGGGUGAAAGGCCAAUCAAACUCCGUGAUAGCUGGUUCUCCCCGAAAUGCAUUUAGGUGCAGCGUCACGUGUUUCUCACCGGAGGUAGAGCUACUGGAUGGUCUAGGGGGCCUACAAGCUUACCGAAAUCAGCCAAACUCCGAAUGCCGGUGAGUGAGAGCGUGGCAGUGAGACUGCGGGCGAUAAGGUUCGUAGUCGAGAGGGAAACAGCCCAGAUCGCCAGCUAAGGUCCCUAAGCGUGUACUAAGUGGAAAAGGAUGUGGGGUCGCGAAGACAACCAGGAGGUUGGCUUAGAAGCAGCCACCCUUGAAAGAGUGCGUAAUAGCUCACUGGUCAAGUGAUCCUGCGCCGACAAUGUAGCGGGGCUCAAGUACACCACCGAAGCUGCGGCACUCACACAAUAGCCCGCUGAAUCCUUGCGAGGGUUCAGCCAGGUGUGUGGGUGGGUAGGGGAGCGUCGUGCAGCCAUGGAAGCAUCGGAGUGAUCCAGGUGUGGAGGCUGCGCGAGUGAGAAUGCAGGCAUGAGUAGCGAAAGACGAGUGAGAAACUCGUCCGCCGAAUGACCAAGGGUUCCUGGGCCAGGUUAAUCCGCCCAGGGUGAGUCGGGACCUAAGACGAGGCCGACAGGCGUAGCCGAUGGACAACGGGUUGAUAUUCCCGUACCCGUGUAACCGCGCCCAUGGUGAAUCAGUGACACUAACCACCCUGAAUCCAGAUGACCGAUCUCUUUCGAGAGUGAGGCGUGUGGUGGAUGCGUGGGACCUGAUCUGGUAGUAGCCAAGCGAUGGGGUGACGCAGGAAGGUAGCUGGGCCAGUCAGUGGUUGUACUGGUGUAAGCCUGUAGGGCGAACGGUAGGCAAAUCCGCCGUUCAUGAAGCCUGAGAGGUGAUGCGUAGCCGAUUGAGGCGAAUUCAGUGAUCCUAUGCUGCCGAGAAAAGCCUCUAGUGAGUUGUUACACGGCCCGUACCCCAAACCGACACAGGUGGUCAGGUAGAGAAUACUAAGGCGAUCGAGAUAACUAUGGUUAAGGAACUCGGCAAAAUGCCCCCGUAACUUCGGGAGAAGGGGGGCCCCUGCCGGUGAUCACUCUUGCAGUGUGAGCUGGUGUGGGCCGCAGAGACCAGUGAGAAGCGACUGUUUACUAAAAACACAGGUCCGUGCGAAGUCGUAAGACGAUGUAUACGGACUGACGCCUGCCCGGUGCUGGAAGGUUAAGAGGACCGGUUAGCCAGUAAUGGCGAAGCUGAGAAUUUAAGCCCCAGUAAACGGCGGUGGUAACUAUAACCAUCCUAAGGUAGCGAAAUUCCUUGUCGGGUAAGUUCCGACCUGCACGAAUGGCGUAACGACUUCUCAGCUGUCUCAACCAUAGACUCGGCGAAAUUGCAUUACGAGUAAAGAUGCUCGUUACGCGCGGCAGGACGAAAAGACCCCGGGACCUUCACUACAGCUUGGUAUUGGUGUUCGGUUCGGUUUGUGUAGGAUAGGUGGGAGACUGUGAAGCGGUGACGCCAGUUACUGUGGAGUCGUUGUUGAAAUACCACUCUGAUCGUAUUGGAUACCUCAACCUCGGACCAUGAUCUGGUUCAGGGACAGUGCCUGGUGGGUAGUUUAACUGGGGCGGUUGCCUCCUAAAAUGUAACGGAGGCGCCCAAAGGUUCCCUCAGCCUGGUUGGCAAUCAGGUGUCGAGUGCAAGUGCACAAGGGAGCUUGACUGUGAGACUGACAAGUCGAGCAGGGACGAAAGUCGGGACUAGUGAUCCGGCACCGGCAAGUGGAAGCGGUGUCGCUCAACGGAUAAAAGGUACCCCGGGGAUAACAGGCUGAUCUUCCCCAAGAGUCCAUAUCGACGGGAUGGUUUGGCACCUCGAUGUCGGCUCGUCGCAUCCUGGGGCUGGAGUAGGUCCCAAGGGUUGGGCUGUUCGCCCAUUAAAGCGGCACGCGAGCUGGGUUUAGAACGUCGUGAGACAGUUCGGUCUCUAUCCGCCGCGCGCGUAAGAAACUUGAGGAAGGCUGUCCCUAGUACGAGAGGACCGGGACGGACGAACCUCUGGUGUGCCAGUUGUUCCACCAGGAGCACCGCUGGUUGGCUACGUUCGGAAGGGAUAACCGCUGAAAGCAUCUAAGCGGGAAGCCUGUUCCAAGAUGAGGUUUCUCACCCCCUCGAGGGGGUAAGGCCCCCGGCAGACCACCGGGUUGAUAGGCCAGAACUGGAAGUACAGCAAUGUAUGCAGGUGACUGGUACUAAUAGGCCGAGGACUUACCACA
rnacentral:rRNA from 2 species